UACAGAGGUCUCAAGCGUUGUUCGGAUUCAUUGGGCGUAAAGGGUGCGUAGGUGGCGUCGUAAGUCAGGUGUGAAAUCUCGGGGGCUCAACCCCGAAACUGCACUUGAUACUGCGAUGCUCGAGUACUGGAGAGGAGAUUGGAAUUUACGGUGUAGCAGUGAAAUGCGUAGAUAUCGUAAGGAAGACCAGUGGCGAAGGCGAAUCUCUGGACAGUUACUGACACUGAGGCACGAAGGCCAGGGGAGCAAACGGG
rnacentral:rRNA from 1 species